GCUAGGAUGAACGCUAGCUACAGGCUUAACACAUGCAAGUCGAGGGGCAGCAUUGGGGUAGCAAUACUCAGAUGGCGACCGGCGCACGGGUGAGUAACACGUAUCCAACCUGCCGCUUACUCGGGGAUAGCCUUUCGAAAGAAAGAUUAAUACCCGAUGGUAUAAAGAGUUCGCAUGUUCUCUUUAUUAAAGAAUUUCGGUAAGCGAUGGGGAUGCGUUCCAUUAGAUAGUUGGCGGGGUAACGGCCCACCAAGUCUACGAUGGAUAGGGGUUCUGAGAGGAAGGUCCCCCACAUUGGAACUGAGACACGGUCCAAACUCCUACGGGAGGCAGCAGUGAGGAAUAUUGGUCAAUGGACGAGAGUCUGAACCAGCCAAGUAGCGUGAAGGAUGACUGCCCUAUGGGUUGUAAACUUCUUUUAUAAGGGAAUAAAGUGAGGGACGUGUCCCUUUUUGUAUGUACCUUAUGAAUAAGGAUCGGCUAACUCCGUGCCAGCAGCAGC
rnacentral:rRNA from 1 species